UGGACUUUGAACAAAGUCUUCAAUCUAUAUUGUACCCAUCUGUUAAUCAUAUGAAGGGUGAUCCCACAUUGCAACAAGGUUUUGGUGGUUACCAUCAUCAUUUAUUGCCACAAACUUUUGUGAUUCCAGACAAUCAAUGGAUGGAACAUAUGAAAGUGAUUCAAACAAAUCAAAGGGUGGAACAUAUGAGAGUGAUUCAAGAAAAUCAAAGGGUAGAACAACAAUCAAAUUUCACAAAGAGGAAUGAAUAUUUUCCAUCUAAAGGUCAGCCAUAAUCACUAAUGAAGGGAUGGAAAUGGAUCAAAUUGACAUUUGCUCGAAGGGUAGAAUAGUCUUUAUGUUUGAGCUUGGUUCAAAAAUUAUUGUACACAUAAAAUUUCUGUCAUUUAGUUAUGUUUGUAGAACCUUUUCUUCAUCUUCCUAGUUUGGUCUGUCUAUUUUUAGUUAUUGAUAUGAAUAAACUAAAUAACUAUCUCUAUUUAUGUGA